AUUGAACGCUGGCGGCAUGCUUUACACAUGCAAGUCGAACGGUAACAGGUCUUCGGAUGCUGACGAGUGGCGAACGGGUGAGUAAUGCAUCGGAACGUGCCCAGUCGUGGGGGAUAACGCAGCGAAAGCUGUGCUAAUACCGCAUACGAUCUAUGGAUGAAAGCGGGGGAUCGCAAGACCUCGCGCGGUUGGAGCGGCCGAUGUCAGAUUAGCUAGUUGGUGGGGUAAAGGCCCACCAAGGCGACGAUCUGUAGCUGGUCUGAGAGGACGACCAGCCACACUGGGACUGAGACACGGCCCAGACUCCUACGGGAGGCAGCAGUGGGGAAUAUUGGUCAAUGGGCGCAAGCCUGACCAGCCAUGCCGCGUGCAGGAAGAAUGCCCUAUGGGUUGUAAACUGCUUUUAUUUAGGAUAAACCUUACUAACGUGUAGUAAGCUGAGGUACUGAAUGAAUAAGCACCGGCUAACUCCGUGCCA
rnacentral:rRNA from 1 species